CUCGGCUGGCUCGCCUGGCCGGAGCUCGGAGCGGCGGCGGCGACGACCGAGCUCUGGGGCCGCUCCUCCCCGGCCCGGCCCCGGCCCCGCUCCGCCCGGCCCCGGCCUUUCCCCGGCAGGUUUCCAUGAAGAUAAACAAUUGAAAUGUGGAUAGCCUAUUUGUAGCUUGGUGGUGGUUGUCAUCUGGAACCUGCUGGUGGCUCCUCCCAGUAGCUGGUGUCACGUUGGCUGCUAAAAGCCAUGAAGGUUGUACCGGAGAAGAAUGCUGUCCGCAUCCUGUGGGGUAGGGAACGGGGCACCCAAGCCUUGGGUGCUCAGCGGCUCCUGCAGGAGUUGGUGGAGGAUAAAACUCGAUGGAUGAAAUGGGAGGGCAAGAAAGUUGAGUUACCAGACAGUCCACGCUCCACCUUCUUGCUGGCGUUUAGUCCAGACAGGACCCUAAUGGCUUCCACACAUGUGAACCACAACAUCUACAUCACAGAGGUGAAAACGGGCAAAUGUGUUCAUUCCUUGGUUGGACAUCGCCGCACUCCCUGGUGUGUCACCUUCCAUCCCACCAUCCCGGGUCUCAUUGCUUCAGGAUGCCUAGAUGGGGAGGUUAGAAUUUGGGAUUUACACGGUGGAAGUGAGAGCUGGUUCACAGAUAGCAACAAUGCCAUCGCAUCGCUUGCUUUUCAUCCUACGGCUCAGCUCUUGCUGAUUGCAACUGCCAACGAGAUACAUUUCUGGGACUGGAGUCGUCGGGAGCCCUUUGCAGUGGUGAAAACAGCUAGUGAAAUGGAGCGGGUCAGGCUGGUACGGUUUGAUCCCUUGGGACACUACUUGCUCACAGCAAUUGUUAACCCUUCUAACCAGCAGAGUGAUGAGGAAGUGGAAAUCUCCGUGGACAGCACAGAGCUGCCGCAUUACCGCCAGCGCGCUAUCCUUCCGUCUCAGCCCGUGAGGCGCACACCCCUCCUCCACAACUUCCUGCAUAUGUUGUCCUCCCGCUCCUCUGGCAUACAGGUGGGAGAGCAAAACAGUGUUCAAGACUCUGCUACCCCAUCCCCUCCACCGCCUCCACCACCACCACCUCCGCCUCCAGCCAGUGAGAACACAAGGGCAUCUGUCUAUAACAGGCUCCGAGAGCGUGUCAGCUAUCCCACAGCAGAGUGCUGCCAGCACCUGGGGAUGUUGUGCCUUUGCAGCCGAUGCUCUAGUGCAAGACUUCCUUCUUCUCUCUUCCCACACCAGGAAAACGCACCCUCCACGUCUUCUGGGGCCACUGGCACUUCCUUCUCCUCUGUGCAGACAGAGCCUUAUCAACCCCCAGAGCAGGCAUCCGUAGCGCAGGAGGAGCAGGGGAUACUUAACAGGCCCUCUGCUUUCAGCACAGUUCAGAGCAGCACUGCUGGCAACACCCUGCGCAACCUUAGCCUGGGCCCCACGCGGAGGUCCCUCAGCGGGCCCUUGGCAGGCCACCAGUCCCGGUACCAACAGUCUGCAAGAGAGAUGGCUUCAGGCUUAGGUGGGUCUGACUGGUCCAGGACAGUGCUGAACAUGAGCUCUCGGUCAGAGCUGGAAGCCAUGCCUCCCCCUAGGACCAGUGCCUCCUCCGUGAGCUUGCUGUCAGUGCUGAGACAGCAGGAGGGAGGUUCCCAGGCAUCAGUCUAUACCUCUGCAACAGAAGGGAGGGGCUUUCUGGCCCCAGGGGCUGAGGUGGACAGUGGUAGUGGUGCUGGCCCGAGCAAUCCGGCCAGCAUCCGUAAUGAGCUCCAGUGUGAUUUGAGGCGAUUCUUCCUGGAAUAUGACCGGCUUCAGGAGUUAGAUCAGGGGAUUGGUGGGGAGCCCAGCCAGUCGCAACAGGCUCAAGAAAUGCUCAACAACAACAUUGAGCCUGAUCGGCCGGGUCCCUCCCAUCAGCAGACUCCACACAGCAGUGAAAACAGUUCCAAUUUGUCCCGGGGUCACCUGAACCGCUGUCGUGCUUGUCAUAACCUGCUGACCUUUAACAAUGACACGCUGCGCUGGGAGAGAAGCACGCCUAGCUACACAGCAGGGCAGGUCCAGAGCACGUUUGAGGGUGUACCUCCAAAUACCAGCCAGGUGCAGCCUGCAGAGAGAACCGAGGGCAGAGCUCCUGCCUCUGGCAGGCUGCAGCUGGGCAGCUCUUCCACCCCGCAGGAGGAGAGGACCGUGGGAGUGGUCUUUAACCAGGAGACGGGGCACUGGGAAAGAGUUUACAGCCAGUCGGCUUCAAGCAGACCUGGGAAUGUAUCACAGGAGGCCUUAAACCAGGAAAUGCCUGAGGAAAGCUCAGAGGAGGAUUCACUCAGGAGGAGGUUGCUGGAGUCUUCCCUCAUUUCGUUAUCUCGCUAUGAUGGAGCAGGGUCCCGGGAACAUCCAAUCUACCCAGACCCAGCCAGGUUGUCUCCUGCUGCAUAUUAUGCUCAGAGGAUGAUCCAGUAUCUUUCCCGGAGGGACAGUAUUCGACAACGCUCUAUGAGAUACCAACAAAACCGUCUCCGCUCUUCCUCCUCCUCUUCUUCCACUUCAGAGAACUCAAGCCCAUCUGUAGAGGGAAAUGAUCUGGAAUUUGAAGACUUUGAAAGGGACAAUGGAGACCGAUCCAGGCACCGAGCUCCUCGGAAUGCCCGCAUGUCUGCACCGUCGCUGGGGCGCUUUGUCCCAAGACGCUUCUUGCUGCCAGAGUACUUGCCUUAUGCUGGGAUUUUCCAUGAACGGGGACAACCUGGCUUGGCCACCCAUUCCUCUGUCAACAGGGUUUUGGCAGGUGCUGUGAUUGGGGAUGGACAGUCAGCUGUGGCCAGUAACAUUGCCAACACAACCUACCGGCUCCAGUGGUGGGACUUCACUAAAUUUGAUCUGCCUGAAAUCAGCAAUGCCUCUGUGAAUGUGCUUGUUCAAAACUGCAAGAUUUACAAUGACGCUAGCUGCGAUAUCUCUGCUGAUGGGCAGCUGCUGGCAGCCUUCAUUCCCAGCAGCCAGAGAGGCUUCCCUGAUGAAGGAAUACUGGCUGUGUAUUCUCUGGCACCACACAACUUGGGCGAGAUGCUCUACACAAAGCGUUUUGGCCCUAAUGCCAUUUCUGUGAGCCUGUCGCCAAUGGGUAGAUACGUAAUGGUGGGACUGGCUUCCCGACGCAUCCUGCUGCACCCCUCCACUGAACAUAUGGUUGCUCAAGUCUUCAGGCUGCAACAGCCCCACGGUGGAGAAACCUCUAUGAGGAGAGUUUUCAACGUUCUGUACCCAAUGCCUGCCGACCAGAGAAGACAUGUCAGCAUCAACUCUGCUCGCUGGCUGCCUGAGCCAGGCCUGGGAUUGGCAUAUGGCACCAACAAAGGGGACCUGGUGAUUUGCCGACCAGAGGCCUUAAACUCUGGAGUUGAGUACCACUGGGACCAGAUGAAUGAGAACGUCUUCACUGUGCAUUCCAGCAGCAGGAGCACUGAGCGGCCUGGCACUUACAGUCAGAGGUCAGUUUUGGAAAGAGCAUCCAAGCACUGUCAAGAUUCAGCUCUUGAAGUAUCGUACACUUCAACUGUUUGAUUCUGAGUAGCUAAUGAGCCUUGAGGUGGUUCCUGUUGUUUGCUUUUGAGAACAGAGAAUUUCUCCUGUCUGACUGGAACGGGCAGAAAUGCCUGCUGGAGUGCAUUCAUGUGUGAUGCUGACAAACCAGGAGGUCCAGAGAAGGGAAGGGAUACAGGCUGUGUCCUUGGGAGUUAAAACCACCCUGCUGACACGCAGAGAAAGGUUGUGUGUGUGUUUGUGAUCCUGUGCUGCACGUCCUGUUGCCUACUCAACUCAGUGACCCCGAGACAGAGUUGUACUGAAGGCUUAGUGAUGCUGCAGGGAUCUCUAUCUGUGCCUGUCAGAUACGCUGCUUCCGUGGAAGGGUGAGUGGACUGCAAGACUCUGUUGGCUUAAAACUCAAGGGACCAGCCAGCUGAGGCUGGGGAGGGAUGUCGGUGUGUGUGCAGGGCACAGUUCCCUCCAGCCCCAUCUGCGUACUGGCUAGCAGAUGCCUGGUUGGACUGGAGGCAAGAAGAGGCUCAGGUGGAUGCUUCAGUCUUUCUGGGGCUCUUUGCCUCCAAUGCUCCUGGUCUUACUUGUUUUUCUCUCUUUUCAGAACCAGCAGAGCCACAUGGAGGACAGACAGGGACAUGGGCCUGAUGAAUGCCAUAGGCCUGCAACCCCGAAACCCCCCCACCUCUGUGACUUCGCAGGGUACCCAGACCUUGGCGCCUCAGCUGCAGAAUGCCGAGACUCAGACAGAGAGGGAGGUACAGGAGCAGGAAUCCGCCUCUGCGGGGACUGGGGAAGGUGAAGGGCCAGACUAUGGGGCCAGUGGGGAGGAUGCCCUGAGUAGGAUCCAAAGGCUGAUGACAGAAGGUGGCAUGACUGCCGUGGUCCAGCGGGAGCAGAGCACCACCAUGGCGUCCAUGGGUGGCUUUGGCAACAACAUCAUCGUGAGCCACCGGAUCCACCGCAGCUCUCAGACCGGUGCAGAGUCCACCGGAGCUGAGGGCACAUCAGCACAGCAGUCCACCUCGCAGCAGAUGGCAGCUGAGCUGGAGGGACGGAUCAUUUCAGAGUCUAUGCAGCUCUCGGAGCAUGGCCUGAGCCCGCGGACAGCCCCUGGUGGGAGUGAAGGACAAAGCGCUGGUGACCUGGACCUGCCAGAGCAGGCCCGGUCCUCCAUGGAUACUGAGGGACCAAUUGAAUACAGUGACCUAACUAAUAAUAACCAUCUUCCUGACAGUACCAACUUCUAUAGUAAUGACAGCACCAGUGGGGAGUCGCGGAACAGGUAGAGAUUGAGUUGUGUGUUGGUGCUACCCUUGUACUGCUCAGCAGAGACCUGUACCUCACAGCUGGCAAGGAGCUGGAAGAGUAGGAACAUGUGGCUCUGGCAGGAUGCUGGUGGUUCAGAAGGCUUCUCUAUCCUGGGUGAAUGGGGAAGGAAUGAGGACUGCAAGGGAAGCCACGGGGAAGAAAGCGUACUUAACUUCCAACAUUCCCACUGCUGAAGAGUUAACAGGAAUAUGAACUGUACCAGCUGCACAUCAUGCAGACUUUGAAGCCCCUUGGGAUCCCCUGAGCUCAGCCCUAACCCUUCAAUUUGGUCAGUGUCAUCCUCUGUAAAGCUUCUUUCCUUUCCUUUUCCUGCCCUUUUAUGCCCAGGGGCUGAUCAGUAGAGUGGAGAAAGGAAAGGGGGCCUGCAGCAUCCUUCUGGAGACAGGCAGUCCUACUGGGCAAACCUGGGCGUGAUGCUCCAGCUCCAUUGCUGGAGUGGAGGAGUCUUCCAGGCCACAGCCCCACUCCGUGGCACAGCGCUGCUUCCCCCUCAGUCUGGUGUUCUGAGACCUCUCCUGCCUGCACUGUGGUGUUUUCUGGGAAGAACUGGGCUUUGCCAUAACCUGCAUGGCUCAGGAUCUUCUCACAGGUGGGGGAUCUUCCCUUUUUAGAGAGUUAGUGUAGUACUUGGCAGGAACCUAAGCAGGGCUGCUGUAUAGAUGGAUAGAGGGACAAGGGCUACUGCUCCCUAGUCAGGAUGCGGUUCACGCAAGGAUGUUCUAAACUGUGCCAAUAUUAACAUGAAUGAGCCAUCCCAGUGGUUUCAUGGUGCCAGGACUGAGCUGCACCUCCUUGGCAAGGGGGCAGGAAAUGUCUCUCAGCUCCAGGCCAGGGUGUGAGGUAUGGGUCUGUGAUGUAAGGUGUUGCAUGUGAAAUCUUGACCUUGUACAUGUAGUUUCUAGUGGAGAAUUCCAGGCUCUGAUAUUUUGUUUUUAGUCUCAAAUGUGAUUUUCCUUUUCGUUUGUAACUCUCCAUCCCUAGCAGGCUUGUGGAGGAAGGGCAGGGAGAGCGUGAGUGCUGACGAGGGAAACACCAAAGAUCAAUGUCAUUAAAAUAUGACAAACCCUUGCUUGA